UUUUCGCAGGCCUUUGAAUGUUUGUCUCCAUGGUUCCAGUGCAGAGAAGUCAGCCUUCCGACACGAGUCCUUGGAUUUUCUGAUGAGGACUUGCACGAGACAGUCCAGGGAGCUGCAGGCCUUCGACUUUGACUUAAUCCUUGCAGAUGGCCAUUGAUCAUCUUCUGCUCUGAUUCCUCAGGUGCUAUUUGAGAAGCACACCUGACUCCAGUUGCUGUGGAUGCAGGUCCUGUCCUCCUCAGCCGUGGACCUCAUGCUGCGCUGGGACAGACAUUUAUGCUGACUCCUUCCGCAGGAUUGCUGUUCUGACUCGGGGCUACCUUUGCAAAAGUUGGACUAAUCCUAAUGUGUGGAAUCUACAUGUCCCAGAGCGUGCAUUCAUUUUACAAACUGUAUAUCAUGAUGGAUAGCACCAGUGCCCUGCCGCCUGCCUCAACUGCCACGAGGUGAAGGAUGAGAGCCCCUGAGGACCCCUUCUCUGGCUGAGAGGGGCCAUCUCGCCUGCCCGCACGGUCUCCUGCUUCCACAUUGUUUCUUUCCCGGGAGGACAGCCACAAGGCUCUUCUUGGGCUCCAAAUUUAGAGUCCAUCCUAAGACAUAGGUUUGCUGGAGGAAUUAGGAAUUUCGUGAAUAUGUAGGAAAGCAUGUUAGAAUGCAGGAAUGGUGAUAAUUAUUACAAAAAGGGGAACCAGAGGAGGAAACUUCUUCCAAAGACAGCACGACUACGUAAACAUAAUCAUGAUCAGAAUAAGUGGGUUAGUGAUGGAGAAUCAGCUUCCCUAAGGGGAUAGGAUGCAAACCCCAAGGGAGACGCGGGCACACAUGAUCACUGAUACGUAACCAGCGCUUAGGACAGAGCUGACCAUGUGCUAGGCGAUAAAAAUGUGCUGACCGGAUGACAGAUUCAUGUGUGACAGUUGAUAUUAUGGCUGGAGAAAAAGAAACUUUUCAGUGCAUGUUUCUGAAAUGGUAGCUUAUCCAUAUAAAAUAUGUAUGGACCCCAAUUCCAUAUUUUAAAAACAAAUCAGUUCCAGUCAACUGCCAAUCUAAAUGUGAACAACAAAAUUUUAAAAUGUUUAACAGAUAAUAUAUUGCUACACAGUUUCACGACCUUGAUAUUGGAGAGUGCUU